rnacentral:rRNA from 1 species
CCUACGGGGGGCAGCAGUGAGGAAUAUUGGUCAAUGGACGAGAGUCUGAACCAGCCAAGUAGCGUGAAGGAUGACUGCCCUAUGGGUUGUAAACUUCUUUUAUAAAGGAAUAAAACGAGGCACGUGUGCCUUUUUGCAUGUACUUUAUGAAUAAGGAUCGGCUAACUCCGUGCCAGCAGCCGCGGUAAUACGGAGGAUCCGAGCGUUAUCCGGAUUUAUUGGGUUUAAAGGGAGCGUAGAUGGGUUGUUAAGUCAGUUGUGAAAGUUUGCGGCUCAACCGUAAAAUUGCAAUUGAUACUGGAAGUCUUGAGUACAGUUGAGGUAGGCGGAAUUCGUGGUGUAGCGGUGAAAUGCUUAGAUAUCACGAAGAACUCCGAUUGCGAAGGCAGCUUACUAAACUGCCACUGACAUUGAUGCUCGAAAGUGUGGGUAUCAAACAGGAUUAGAUACCCCUGUAGUC